rnacentral:rRNA from 1 species
UACGUAGGGGGCGAGCGUUGUCCGGAUUUAUUGGGCGUAAAGAGCUCGUAGGCGGUUCGGUAAGUCGAAUGUGAAAUCUCCACGCUCAACGUGGAGGGGUCAUUCGAAACUGCCGUGACUUGAGUACGGUAGGGGAGUGUGGAAUUCCCGGUGUAGCGGUGAAAUGCGCAGAUAUCAGGAGGAACACCGAUGGCGAAGGCAGGUCUCUGGGCCAUAACUGACGCUGAGAAGCGAAAGCAUGGGGAGCGAACAGG